GAUGAACGCUGGCGGCGUGCCUAAUACAUGCAAGUCGAGCGAACAGACGAGGAGCUUGCUCCUCUGACGUUAGUGGCGGACGGGUGAGUAACACGUGGAUAACCUACCUAUAAGACUGGGAUAACUUCGGGAAGCCGGAGCUAAUACCGGAUAAUAUAUUGAACCGCAUGGUUCAAUAGUGAAAGACGGUUUUGCUGUCACUUAUAGAUGGAUCCGCGCCGCAUUAGCUAGUUGGUAAGGUAACGGCUUACCAAGGCGACGAUGCGUAGCCGACCUGAGAGGGUGAUCGGCCACACUGGAACUGAGACACGGUCCAGACUCCUACGGGAGGCAGCAGUAGGGAAUCUUCCGCAAUGGGCGAAAGCCUGACGGAGCAACGCCGCGUGAGUGAUGAAGGUCUUCGGAUCGUAAAACUCUGUUAUUAGGGAAGAACAAAUGUGUAAGUAACUAUGCACGUCUUGACGGUACCUAAUCAGAAAGCCACGGCUAACUACGUG
rnacentral:rRNA from 1 species